rnacentral:rRNA from 1 species
AACCCUUCUUGAAACACGGACCAAGGAGUUCAACAUGCGCGCUAGUUGUUGGGAUUUGAUAAACCCGCUAGCAAAGUGAAAGCAAGUCACAGUGUUACGCUGUGGAUUGGCGUGAUCCCGUCACCGUAGUUGGUGAUGAGCCAACUCGGCUGGGCGCAUCGCCGGCCCGUCAUGAGCUCAAGUGGCUGUGGCGGAGCCUGAGCGUGCACGUUGAGACCCGAAAGAUGGUGAACUAUGCCUGGGCAGGAUCGGCGGUGGCGUCGAAAGCUUACGGGUGUGAACCUGGCUGGAGCCGCCGUCGGUGCAGAUCUUGGUGGUAGUAGCAAAUACUCAAGCGAGAACCUUGAGGACUGAAGUGGAGAAGGGUUCCAUGUGAACAGCAGUUGAACAUGGGUCAGUCGAUCGUAAGGUAUCGGCGAAAGCCGUUCAGAAGCGGUGUGUAUCGGGUCUUUAUUGGCCUGGCUCUUGGUGUGUGGCAACAUGCAUUAGGUUCACUGCACCUACCGAAAGGGAAUCGGGUUAAUAUUCCCGAACCCGGCAUCGGAUAUUGGUCGUGGGUCAAACCACGGCUUUAUGUGCGGUAACGCAAAUGAACUCAGAGACGCUGACACGUGCCCUAGGAAGAGUUGUCUUUUCUUCAUAAGGCACAGGCUCCCUGGAAUCGGAUCAUCCGGCGAUAGGGAGAUGGUGACCGUAGAGCACCGCGGUUCUUGCGGUGUCUGGUGCGCACGUGUCGGUCCUUGAAAAUCUGAGGGAGAGUGUGAUUUUCGUGCCGGAUCGUACCCAUAUCCGCAGCAGUCUCC